rnacentral:lncRNA from 1 species
CAGAGAUAAUCUCCAUACCAUGAUGCUGCUGCUGGGGGCAGGAGAAGAGUGACGUCAAUAACUCAGGACUGUUUUUUAUCUGUCUCUUCAGUGCCUCUUUCAGUGAUAUAAAGUUAAAACCAGGAAUGGAUUACUGUCUAUCCUACUUCCCCAAAAGAGAAUUAACAGCAUAGAAAUUAUGCCUAAAAGCCAGGUAUUUAUAUACCAGGUGCUCGCUAUAGAAGACUCAGUAUACUUGGCAAGAAGGAAAUUAAUGAAAGUCAAAAAUUAGCUACAUCUAGAGAUUUCACUAUCAGCAAAAUUAUAUGACCACAUAUUAGUAUUAUGAGCAAGCAUCCUCAGACCCAACUGUGAGCAUGAGCACAGUAAUUUUAGUCCCAAGAUUUCUGUUGAAUGCCUCCAUUUCAGGCUUUCGAGCAACCAAUGUAUGCAAUAGAGGAGGAAAGUAGGUGACAAAGAGAGAGUGAGCAGAGGCAACUCUCACGGCUGUGAUUAGAAAACAGCAUUUAUGACAGGAGUCAGCUGGUUCCCAACUCAUUUCCUUCAUUCAUCAUCUGAAGGCCCAAGACGGUCUGCCAAACCAGAAUAUGUUCACAGAAUCAGACCACAGCUGAGAAGUCAGUGGAAUUGUCUUCUAUAUUUUUGUUUCUACCUUGGGCAUACUUGAGCCUUGGAGAUGGAGGCUGCAGUAAGCAGACAUCCCGCA